GUGGUGGGUGGUCUUAAUACUCGCCAGGGUCGUUGCCAGGGUCAGUCAGGUAGUAGUAGUGGGUGGUCUCAAUACUCGCCAGGGUCGUUGCCAGGGUCAGUCAGGUGGUGGUGGUCUUAAUACUCGCCAGGGUCGUUGCCAGGGUCAGUCAGGUGGUGGUGGUCUUAAUACUCGCCAGGGUCGUUGCCAGGGUCAGUCAGGUGGUGGGUGGUCUUAAUACUCGCCAGGGUCGUUGCCAGGGUCAGUCAGGUUGGGGAGAGAAGGGCGGUGCUGUGCACUCACCACCCUUGCUCUCCCGGGGGAGUAAGGAGGCGCUGUGCACUCACCUGCCUUCCUCCCCUGGGGAGGGUAGGGAGGUGCUGCGCACUCACCUCCCCUCCUCCCCGUGGGCAGCUCCACCACACAUGGUGAUGGAGUGGAUGCCCUUUGAAGUUUUUUGUAAGUUCCGAGAGGGGGUUCGAACCUGUGCGCCCCUCACAUCCCUCACUCCAAACUCAAAGGGCAUCACUCUACCCACUGGGCCACGAGGGCCCAUCUUUUUUUUUGUAAA